UUAAGUGAAUAAGGGCGCACGGAGGAUGCCUUGGCACUAGGAGUCGAAGAAGGACGCGACAAACGGCGAAACGCCUCGGGGAGCUGUAAGUGAGCAUUGAUCCGGGGGUAUCCGAAUGGGGAAACCCGCUAGUGGUUAUACGCUAGCACCAUAUGGUGAAUACAUAGCCAUAUAGGAGACAGACCCAGGGAACUGAAACAUCUAAGUACCUGGAGGAAAAGAAAGAAAAAUCGAUUCCCGUAGUAGCGGCGAGCGAAGUGGGAAGAGCCCAAACCGGAUUUAUCCGGGGUUGUAGGACCUUCAUAAUUGACAAAUCAUGAUAGCCGAAUGGUCUGGGAAGGCCAACCGUAGGGGGUGAGAGUCCCGUAGGUGAAAUUGUGAGAUGCAUGGAAGGAAUCCUGAGUACGGCGGGACACGUGGAAUCCCGUCGGAAUCAACGAGGACCAUCUCGUAAGGCUAAAUACUACCUAGUGACCGAUAGUGAACCAGUACCGUGAGGGAAAGGUGAAAAGAACCCCGGAAGGGGAGUGAAAGAGAACCUGAAACCGUGUGCCUACAAAUAGUCAGAGCCCGUUAAUGGGUGAUGGCGUGCCUUUUGUAGAAUGAACCGGCGAGUUACGAUAUCGUGCGAGGUUAAGCAGAAGAUGCGGAGCCGUAGCGAAAGCGAGUCUGAAUAGGGCGAAGAGUACGAUGUUGUAGACCCGAAACCGUGUGAGCUAGCCAUGAGCAGGCUGAAGGUCAGGUAACACUGACUGGAGGGCCGAACCAGGGCACGUUGAAAAGUGCUUGGAUGACUUGUGGCUAGGGGUGAAAUUCCAAUCGAACCCGGAUAUAGCUGGUUCUCUCCGAAAUAGCUUUAGGGCUAGCCUCGAUGUUAAGUCUACUGGAGGUAGAGCACUGAAUGGGUGAUGGCCCCACCUCGGGGUACUGAUCUCAAUCAAACUCCGAAUGCCAGAUAGAUAUAAUCGGGAGUCAGACUGUGGGUGAUAAGGUCCAUGGUCAAAAGGGAAAGAGCCCAGACCGCCAGCUAAGGCCCCCAAGUGUCCGUUAAGUGGAAAAGGAUGUGGAGAUGUACAGACAACUAGGAGGUUGGCUUAGAAGCAGCCAUCCUUUAAAGAGUGCGUAAUAGCUCACUAGUCGAGUGACUCUGCGCCGAAAAUGUACCGGGGCUAAACGGACCGCCGAAGCUGCGGAUUGACUUUAGAGUCAGUGGUAGGAGAGCGUUCUAACAGCGGUGAAGCAGUACCGGAAGGAGCUGUGGAGCGGUUAGAAGUGAGAAUGCCGGUGUGAGUAGCGAAAGAUAGGUGAGAAUCCUAUCCAUCGAAAGCCUAAGGUUUCCAGGGGAAGGCUCGUCCGCCCUGGGUAAGUCGGGACCUAAGGUGAGGCCGAAAGGCGUAGCCGAUGGACAACAGGUUGAUAUUCCUGUACCACUUAUUAAACUGAUGGAGUGACGGAGAAGGCUAAGUUGAGCGUGUGAUUGGAUUCACGUGUAAGCAGUGAGGUGGUCAUGUAGGCAAAUCCGCAUGGCAUAACAUUGAGCUGUGAUGCCGAAGCCGAAUGGCGAAGUCAACUGACGUCACGCUUCCAAGAAAAGCUUCUAGGGUUAAUUUAAUAAGUGCCCGUACCGAUAACCGACACAGGUAGGCGAGGAGAGAAUCCUAAGAUGAGCGAGAGAACUCUUGUUAAGGAACUCGGCAAAAUGACCCCGUAACUUCGGGAGAAGGGGUGCUUGUGAAAGCAAGCCGCAGUGAAUAGGCCCAGGCGACUGUUUAUCAAAAACACAGGUCUCUGCUAAACCGCAAGGUGAUGUAUAGGGGCUGACGCCUGCCCGGUGCUGGAAGGUUAAGAGGAGAGGUUAGCGCAAGCGAAGCUUUGAAUUGAAGCCCCAGUAAACGGCGGCCGUAACUAUAACGGUCCUAAGGUAGCGAAAUUCCUUGUCGGGUAAGUUC
rnacentral:rRNA from 1 species